rnacentral:rRNA from 1 species
CAUUUGAAGGGGCGCAAGCCUGAGCAGCCUGCCGCGUGUAUGAAGAAGGCCUUCGGGUUGUAAAGUACUUUCAGUUGUGAGGAAGGGGGUGUUGUUAAUAGCAACAUCUCUUGACGUUAGCAACAGAAGAAGCACCGGCUAACUCCGUGCCAGCAGCCGCGGUAAUACGGAGGGUGCGAGCGUUAAUCGGAAUUACUGGGCGUAAAGCGCAUGCAGGUGGUUCAUUAAGUCAGAUGUGAAAGCCCGGGGCUCAACCUCGGAACUGCAUUUGAAACUGGUGAACUAGAGUACUGUAGAGGGGGGUAGAAUUUCAGGUGUAGCGGUGAAAUGCGUAGAGAUCUGAAGGAAUACCAGUGGCGAAGGCGGCCCCCUGGACAGAUACUGACACUCAGAUGCGAAA